GGGAAAGGCCCGAUUGCUGGGGUUAUGUGAAGGAGAAGAUUGUCCUCUCACGGUUUCCGUCGGUUUCGCUAUCGGAGAAGUUUAUUUCGUUCGUUAUAGUAUGAUUCCUUUAAAGUAGUGUUGUGUACUAGUUUUACAGAAAUAUUUCACGCCACCCCAAAAUAGUCGUAUUUCAUCUAACUACUGAAAACGACUUUGUAUUGUAAUAAAGACGAGAAAGAAGAGAAAAUAUUUGAGGUACUACUAGGUAGGCGACUCAGACUGAGUUUGUCACUUUGUGCAUAACAGAAGCAUGAAAUAAUCUCACACAAAGGGGAGGUUUUCAUUAUGAAAAGAUGGCCACUUCAGCAGCAACCAUCCCCAUCUUUCUUCCCCACUGGGAAAGCAGAGAAAGGAGUGUGCGCUUCCUCUAUCUGGCGGAUAGCUGCUCCUUUCAGAUUACCAACGACUGCAGUGUCAAGGAAUCGAUGGUUCCCUUAUUUCUUGGAGCUGACCUGCUCUCAAAAACUGAUAUUAGGACAGAAAAUCAUCCUAAGUAUCAUGCAAAGUAUGCCAAGAAAGGCUUGGCAACCAAACUGAUUUUCUCCUCUGAAUUUAGGUUCCAUGGACUGAGACUCCCCACUGGAAGUAACAGCCUCUGGUUUUACAGCAUCCAGGGCCUUUUUCGAGUGGCUUUUGAAGUCUACAGCCAGCAAGAGCAGUUGUCAUUGUUGGACACAUUCCAGGACCUGUGGAAGUCACGGAUUAAUGAUGGUCCACUGAAAAUGUGCUAUUACUUAAGUGUCCGACUGAAAUGUCCAGAACCCGAGGACAUUCUGAAGAUCCACAAUACAGAAAUCAAACUCAAGCUGAAGUAUCUUGAAGUCCCAGAAACACAAGUCCAUGACCCCCAAAUGACUGAGAGCAAUAUGGUGACUCCCCAAGAUGCUGUGCCCCCUCCUGGUGACAGCUCAUCAGCAGACCACAAUUAUUGUUGUCCCACAGAUGUGGCCCCUCAGUCAGACUUUCUUUCCAGAAUUGUUCAGAGAAUCAGAAGCUUCUCUGUUCUUAUGGAAGCCUCCACACCAGAUGUUGGGAGAGAGCAGGAGGUGGUCAUGAUCCUGCUGGAACAUGCAGAGCAGUGGUUGAGAAAGGGACUGGAUGAGAGGAGCUUAGCAGACCUUGUGCUGGCACUGCUGGAGACCAAGAUCCAGGGUUCUUGGGAGGGGGAUUCUAUUUACAGCAGUGCUCUACUCCAGACUGUCAGCGCAUGGUUAGGUCGCCAGUUCUUUACUGCCAAUUGCUGCAUCAGCCAGCGGGUAGAGGGCUUCAAGGUGCGCCACAUAGAGAGCAUCUCAGAUCUACCCCCAGCUGAGGAACUAGUGGGUGAGCUGUUCCCAGAGGCCAUGCGGGUACUGCUGCUCAACUGGAUGGGUCUGACUGAGGAUUCAGCUCACUGGAAGCGUCAUAGUGAAUACCCAAUUUUACUCCUCAUUCUAGAGUUUGCCAACCAUAACCUCAUUACUGGUGUAGCACAUGUCCUUUACUCAAGCUUAAUUUGUAAAUAA
rnacentral:lncRNA from 1 species